UGAUCGGAAGCUAAAGUGGAGGAAGCACUGGACUUUUAAUCCAGAUAAAGAGGGUUCAACUCCCUCCCGAUCAA
rnacentral:tRNA from 1 species